AGCGAACGCUGGCGGCAGGCCUAACACAUGCAAGUCGAACGAAGUCUUCGGACUUAGUGGCGGACGGGUGAGUAACACGUGGGAACGUGCCCUUUGGUACGGAAUAACUCAGGGAAACUUGAGCUAAUACCGUAUGUGCCCUUCGGGGGAAAGAUUUAUCGCCAUUGGAGCGGCCCGCGUCUGAUUAGCUAGUUGGUGAGGUAAAGGCUCACCAAGGCGACGAUCAGUAGCUGGUCUGCGAGGAUGAUCAGCCACAUUGGCACUGAGACACGGCCAAAGCGCCUACGGGAGGCGGCAGUGGGGAAGCUUGCGCAAUGGGCGAAAGCCUGACGCAGCCAUGCCGCGUGAAUGAUGAAGGUCUUAGGAUUGUAAAAUUCUUUCACCGGGGACGAUAAUGACGGUACCCGGAGAAGAAGCCCCGGCUAACUUCGUGCCAGCCGCCGCAGUAAGAC
rnacentral:rRNA from 1 species